rnacentral:ncRNA from 2 species
AAUUAAAUAUGGAAUUGCGGUCACCUUUCAUUUUAUUUAUAAAUGAAAGUGAUAAUAGGGAAGCUGGUGAGAAUCCAGCACAGUCACCUCUACUGUAACGUGGACGAAGAGACAAAUACCAUUGAUAGGAGACUAUUGAGAAGGCGUUUCUAAGGACGAAGCGAAGUCAGGAUACCUGCCGUGUUGCAAGUUAUUUA